rnacentral:lncRNA from 1 species
CUUGUCCAAGACAUUUCCCCCCAUUAAGGCUGCCUCUGCGCAGGCUUUAAGGCGGAGACAGGCCCUUUAGAUAAGCUAACCAAACCCGAGUGCUACAGCUGGGAGAUCAGACACGCAGCCUGUGUUCUAUUACAGAGCCCACUUACAAUAGCGUGGCAUUAAAAAACAAAAAAGGCUCGCCGUUUAACCGUGUUAAACGCGAAUAAUGAUCUAUUUAGCUGCGAAAAGCAAAGAGCAAACAAGAAGAAAGGCGGGAUCUAAAAUAGCUGCGGAGCAGUGUGACUGAUACAGGCUGGGAAGCAGAGAAUAGCUGCUUUCGUCAGCCUUGCCCGUGCGUCCAGCUCGUCUUCCCAACCCAAAGUCGUACACCACAUCAAGUCAAGCGCAGUCCAAUAAAAGCAGUCAGCCCCUCCCUGAUGGCAAACUGGUCCAGAUGUGGCUGCUCUCUGCCAGGCCCCACAGCCUUCUCGUGUGUGCGUCACUGUGCUGAGUGGCCCCAGGUGUUACGCUCCACAUCAAAAAGGCCAUCUGCAGUAUAAAAAAAACGGCCAGCCAACACACCAUGCGCUCCCAUCUCAUCCACAAGUUUCCUCUGCCCAGCAUCCAGACACGGCGCUGCCCACCGUCUCAUCAAUUUUCCUCUUUGAUUUCAUCACCAAGUAAAACUAAAGUGGCAUUACAAAGUUUUAUUUUGUAACAGAACAAGUUUUACAACUGAAACUACCUGAAAAUCAGAAACUCCCGAGUUGUGACCAGAUAUUAAAAGUUUCUGACUGAAAAAAAAAUAAUUUAAAAAAAUCAUCUUGGUGCAAACAAAUACACAACCUUUUAUUUUACAGUCUCAAUAAUGCAAACUGCUUUAGAUCCCACAGAGCAUUAGGAUUUAAAGUGAGCAUGAAACACAAACCCUUCAAGCAGAUUAAAUUUCAAAUCAAGCAGGCCAUGUAAAUGAUGUGGUGACAGGGGGCCCAGUGCAAUUAGCAUGCCGGGCUAGUGUUAAAGCAAUUAGGCAAAACAGACGGCAAGAGCACCGGGGCUAAGCAUGGGAAGGGAGAAGGACGAAUAUUUCCAUAUUAUUCUUCAGGACAUGAAGAAAAU